ACACGUAGGGGGCGAGCGUUAUCCGGAAUUACUGGGCGUAAAGAGUGCGUAGGUGGCUUUGCAAGCGUAGGGUAUAAGGCGACAGCCCAACUGUCGUUGGCCCCGCGAACUGUAAGGCUUGAGUACAGGAGGGGAAGGCGGAAUUCCUAGUGUAGCGGUGAAAUGCGUAGAUAGUAGGUGGAACACCAGUGGCGAAGGCGGCCUGAUGGACGGUAACUGACACUGAGGCACAAAAGAGUGGGUAGCAAGCAGGAUUAGAUUCCCUGGUAGUCAACGCCGUAAUCGAUGAGCACUAGGUGUCGGGAUCGCAAGAGUUCGGUGCCGGAGCAAACGCAUUAAGUGCUCCGCCUGGGGAGUACGCGCGCAAGUGUGAAACUCAAAGGAAUUGACGUGG
rnacentral:rRNA from 1 species